GAUGAACGCUGGCGGCGUGCCUAAUACAUGCAAGUCGAGCGAACGGACGAGAAGCUUGCUUCUCUGAUGUUAGCGGCGGACGGGUGAGUAACACGUGGAUAACCUACCUAUAAGACUGGGAUAACUUCGGGAAACCGGAGCUAAUACCGGAUAAUAUUUUGAACCGCAUGGUUCAAAAGUGAAAGACGGUCUUGCUGUCACUUAUAGAUGGAUCCGCGCUGCAUUAGGUAGUUGGUAAGGUAACGGCUUACCAAGGCAACGAUGCAUAGCCGACCUGAGAGGGUGAUCGGCCACACUGGAACUGAGACACGGUCCAGACUCCUACGGGAGGCAGCAGUAGGGAAUCUUCCGCAAUGGGCGAAAGCCUGACGGAGCAACGCCGCGUGAGUGAUGAAGGUCUUCGGACCGUAAAACUCUGUUAUUAGGGAAGAACAUAUGUGUAAGUAACUGUGCACAUCUUGACGGUACCUAAUCAGAAAGCCACGGCUAACUACGUG
rnacentral:rRNA from 1 species